rnacentral:lncRNA from 1 species
AGGGACUAGAGAUCUUGGAAAUAAAUGGCUGAGGGAACAAUGGAUGGGUUAUGAGGCUACAACCAACCGUGAUUACAAUGGAGUUUAAAGUUCCAGAAGCAGAGACAUUCCAAAGCAUGAGGCCAGGGAGUGGGUGAUGUGGUUGGGCUGCUGAAGCAAAGUGGUGAGAACCGUCGCUGUGAUCUAAGUCACUGAAUACAUCCCCCAGCCCUCAAUGCAGGUCACCACUUUCUGAACGUCUUCUUCGAGUCUCCCAGGCAAAAGGAAGCCCCCUCCUCCAUGUGGUCACAGUCCCUACAGCACUGCUGUAUGCCCCUUUCCUAAAGCAGGAGCCACUUUCUACCUUCUCUACAGUGAGCAGGAGAUUACCUGGACAUCUUAUCUUCUUCCAGACAGAAGCCAGACAUUCUCCUUGCCCCUUCACUUUGACUCACAGCUCUCUAUUUCAAAUGGACAACAUGAUAUGCUCACAAAGCAAUCGGAAGUGCGCGCUAUGGAGGGGAAGUAGUUUGGAACCACACACCCGCUUUCCCACAUCUCAUUAGGUUUCCACCGCCUGCAUCUCCCUGGAUAUCAGCUACCUCCCCUCCCCUCCCCCACCACAGGCUUCCUGAUAUACAGAGCCCCUUGAAUCCCCUCUGGUCAAAGGGAGACUUCCCCAAGGGCAACCCUCCUCUCUUUCAGUGAAUACAGCAACUAAAUAAAUAAAUAAUAAAAACACCCAAGCCCAGGAACCUUCAUUAAAUCAGGUCUAUUCUUACAGCAAAAAAAAGUAAGAAAAAAAUGGAGCUGAGGAGAUGUGGGUACCAUAUUCCAGGCACUUUGCUGCGUUUAAAUAACUAUCUUCCGGUGAAAAAACUGCAACAUCACCUAAUGGUAUUUUCCUCCUUUCCUCUUUUCUAAAACAUA